CUUGAGCCGUCCCAUGCGAAAACAGAAAACAGGACUAAGAUUGUCAACAACAGGAUAGAUUAAUGACUCCGGUUCCUAUCCAGCAGCAAGAAACCCUACGAAAAUAAGGGAGAAGACGAGAGACCAACCAAACGGAUAACAAAAAUGAGAAAGAUAAAGAAAAACAGAUAACUCAAAGAUAAGAGCACCAAACUAAAGAAAAGAAAAACAAAACACAAGAAAACCAAAAGCAAAAUUUUAAUAAAAAAAGACAAGAAAUCGCACAACAAAAU
rnacentral:lncRNA from 1 species